rnacentral:lncRNA from 1 species
AGCUAGAUAAUGAGCUCAAAAAACAGUUCUACACUCGCGAUACUUCAAAAAAAGUGGUCUAUAAUUGCAAUUUCGAUCUCCAUACUGCCCCAGCAGCUAACUGGAGAGACACUGUUUAUUUUGACAUUGCUCCUGAUCCUCCUAAGCCUGAAGAAUUGCCUGAACCAUUCAGGUAUUUACAUAUAUCUACACGUAUAUAAACCCUGCAAUGGUGAACUGUUACUCACCUGUGUGAAUUUGGUAUAUAGGGAUAUGAUGGUGGAGUACACGGACCGGAUGAUGAAUUUGGGUCGUU